rnacentral:rRNA from 1 species
UUUAAAAUAAGUAGUGAAAUUAAAAAUUAAAUGAAAUCAUUAAAUUUAAAUAAUUUGGCGGUAUUUUAAUUAGUCAGAGGAACUUGUAUAGUAAUUGAUAGUCCACGAAAGGAGGUACUUAAAUAAGCUUUAUGUAUUGUUGUUUUUAGAUUAGUUUAAGAGGAAGUAAUUGAUAAUUUUAAUUGAAUUUAAAUUCAAAUCAAAAUGUAGGAUAUUUAAGAAAGAAUGAGUUACAUUAAAGAUAAUUUAGAUUAAUUAUUUUAAAAUUAUUAUGAAAAAGGAUUUGAUAGUAAAUUUGUAAAAUUUUAUAGAUUGAAAGUAUAUUUAAAGUAUG